rnacentral:rRNA from 1 species
AGCGAACGCUGGCGGCAGGCUUAACACAUGCAAGUCGAGCGGGCAUCCUUGUGGUGUCAGCGGCAGACGGGUGAGUAACGCGUGGGAACGUGCCCUUCGGUUCGGAAUAACUCAGGGAAACUUGAGCUAAUACCGGAUACGUGCGAGAGCAGAAAGGUUUAUCUGCCGAAGGAUCGGCCCGCGUCUGAUUAGCUAGUUGGUGAGGUUACGGCUCACCAAGGCGACGAUCAGUAGCUGGUCUGAGAGGAUGAUCAGCCACACUGGGACUGAGACACGGCCCAGACUCCUACGGGAGGCAGCAGUGGGGAAUAUUGGACAAUGGGGGCAACCCUGAUCCAGCCAUGCCGCGUGAGUGAUGACGGCCUUAGGGUUGUAAAGCUCUUUUCUCCGGGACGAUAAUGGCGGUACCGGAGGAAUAAGCCCCGGCUAACUUCGUG